rnacentral:rRNA from 1 species
AUUGAACGCUGGCGGAAUGCUUUACACAUGCAAGUCGAACGGCAGCACGGGAGCUUGCUCCUGGUGGCGAGUGGCGAACGGGUGAGUAAUAUAUCGGAACGUAUCCAAUAAUGGGGGAUAACUAGUCGAAAGAUUAGCUAAUACCGCAUACGCCCUGAGGGGGAAAGCUAGGGACCGCAAGGCCUGGCGUUAAUGGAGCGGCCGAUAUCUGAUUAGCUAGUUGGUGAGGUAAAGUCUCACAAAGGCGACGAUCAGUAGCUGGUCUGAGAGGACGACCAGCCACACUGGAACUGAGACACGGUCCAGACUCCGACGGGAGGCAGCAGUGGGGAAUUUUGGACAAUGGGCGCAAGCCUGAUCCAGCCAUUCCGCGUGAGUGAAGAAGGCCUUCGGGUUGUAAAGCUCUUUCGCAAGGGAAGAAAACUUAUCCUCUAACAUAGGAUGAGGUUGACGGUACCUUGAUAAGAAGCACCGGCUAACUACGUGCCAGCCGCCGCGGUAACAC